rnacentral:lncRNA from 12 species
AUGGCGGGGCGGGGCGGGGCAGCUGCCGGGGACCCCCGUCCCCAGCCCCCGGGCGCCACGGCCCGAGCCAAACCGGUCGGGAGGGGCGGGGGCCGGGCUGCGGCGGGGCCGGCGGGCGAGUGGCCGCGCAGCCCGGGGGUGGGGGGCGGGGGAGUGCGGCGCUCCCGCCGGCCUCCACCCCGGGCCGGGACGGUCUCGGGGCCUGGAUGGGGCCGUGCCCACUCCCCAAGACCCACCGGGUUAACGACCACUUGGAGACUGCGGAGGCGUGAAGGAGGCAGGGGCGAGGCUUUCAAUUCUGGGAGGUCCAGAGACGCCCAGUAAUUCGGGGAUGGGAGAAGUCAGAGAUGGCCGGCGGGGACCCCAAAUCUUCAAUCUUGUCCUCCCUGCAAGAGAGCCCUGUGACAGUGCCCUGGCUGCAUUUGACCUGGUUGACAGAGGAAAGUGCUCCCAGGAGACUGCCUCCCAGAAGCAGAGGCUCUGCCUGCAAACUGGUCCAGUGGUCCACGGGGACAGAUGCCAUCUCUCUCUCCCAAGAGGCCCAGGGACUCACUCCUGGUCACUCAGUCCCCUUCCAGUCCUCUUCCCAUCACCCAACACCCACCUAUUCACUGGUCUUUGCUCCCCCCACCCUCCUGUCAGAAAGGGACACUCUUCCAUCGGUGAAAGUUGCAUUUAAUGCUCACAUCAUCAUAAAGCAGACACACAACCCCAACCCCAGAAUCCAACCUGUGACCAUCUCACCCGAUAAUGACUAUUCCCCUUAAACACAGAGGAGGAAAUUAACUCCGUUCUAAUUAGGUGAGUUUGCUACAGACACCAAUUUUCAUCUCGGUUUCAGAAAGUGUGAUCAUUUCAACUAUUUUUGUUUCUCACCACCCUCCCCCAUCCCUACUCUACUAACAAGUCAAGAUCCUGCCAAGAUUUCCUUGUAAAUAAAACUGUCUGCCUAGGGUGUGAUUUUGAAAAC